UUAAACCCCCCUUGGUAUUUCGUAAAUAGGAAAUGAAAUUCCCGGGCUUCAACUUGGGACUGCAUUCCAAACUGCCUGAGUAGAGUACGGUAGAGGGUUGUGGAAUUUCCAGUGUAGCGGUGAAAUGGUUGAUAUUGGAAGGAACACCAGUGGCGAAGGCGACCACCCGGACUGAUACUGACAUUGAGGUGCGAAAGCGUGGGAGCAAACAGGAAUAGAUACCCUGGUAGUUCACGCCGUAAACGAUGUCGACUAGCCGUUGGGAUCCUUGAGAUCUUAGUGGCGCAGCUAACGCGAUAAGUCGACCGCCUGGGGAGUACGGCCGCAAGGUUAAAACUCAAAUGAAUUGACGGGGGCCCGCACAAGCGGUGGAGCAUGUGGUUAAUUCGAAGCAACGCGAAGAACCUUACCUGGCCUUGACAUGUCCGGAAUCCUGCAGAGAUGCAGGAGAGUGCCUUCGGGAAUCGGAACACUACGGUGCUAGACAUGAGCUGUCAUCAUCACGUCGUGCAA
rnacentral:rRNA from 1 species